GUUGCUGGCAGCCAUCUGGAACAAAAAGAAUAGGACAGUAAGAGAAAUUUGGAAUAACCUGCGGUCUCCAAAAGGGGCAUCCUACAGCCAUAAACUCCAAAAGCAGUCUCAUCUGAAAGUCUCACCAAAACGUUCCCAAGGCGGAUUCAUCAGUACUGGCCACCAUAUGGGCCCUUGGAGAUCUAUUGAGAUGACCACCAACACUUGAAUAGCGAGGGGCUGCCUUUCAGCGCCGCACAAUGCCCCGCGAGUAAGGGAAACUAUUAAACUCCUGGGGCAGGAGCGUUGGCAAACUUUCGUGGGCAGAAUUUUGAGGCCACAAUGAGUGCGGACAACAAAAGGAUUCUCUUGAGGCGUGCAGCGGGCCACAUUGUGUUACAAGAAGCCCAGUCAACAGACUUUUCAGUGAACAACGGAGGUGCAGCGCUGACUUGAACUGACAUUUAAGAGGAGGAAAGUCAACGAGGAUGAGGAGAGCUCGAUUUUAAACCUCUUUGAGGGGGAAAAUAAAAACAGCCGUGGAAUUAGAGGCAGUUCAGGAGAAACCCGUGGCUGCAGGAUCCCUCCAAGACCCUGAAGAGCGAGCGUGCUCCACUGAAAGUUUGUUUGCUCCUUUAAAAAUAGCAACUGUUCGCAGCGAGGCAGUGCCGGAGAGGUCACUCUUAGACUGGGUGCCCCCCUUUUUUUCUUUAGUGGAUUUACCUUCCACUCUUAAAGCUUUUAGCAAAAUAGAACUGGAAGUUGGAUCUCGAAUUCCCCACAUGAUAAACCUAAGUGGCAGACAAUUAAGAUAUCUUCUUUAAAAGGCGCCCCCUCUGAGCGCAAAGAAGGGGCCUUCAAUGGGCGCCGUCCACCU